rnacentral:lncRNA from 1 species
AUUAAACAAAUCCAGGAAGUAGUGCAUCGAGCGUUUUUGAGUUCUCGGAGGUUCGAUACGCUCAAUUUAUGGCCAAGAGUGACCAAGAUCGUGUUGCGUAGACGCUGGGAGGAAUUAUUACAGCUACGUCAAAGCGUACAAGAUGUAACAAUUCCCUUAAUAAGAGCUAGAAAGAAGUUGCAAGAGGAAGAGAGGACAGGCAUGGACACUCACCAUGAUCAUGUUGUACCUUAUGUUGAUACAUUAUUAGCUCUGGAAUUUCCCGAUGAUAAAAGAAAACUCGACGAGGAGGAAAUUUCUAAUUUAUGCGGCGAAUUUCUAAAUGCGGGCACUGAUACUACCACAACUGCCUUGGAAUG